ensembl:lncRNA
ACAUUCGAUAUGCUGAUAAAAUUUAGGGAGCCUUGUUUUCAGAUUAGCCUUGUUAAAAUCCCCAGCUACAAUAAAUACAGCCUCAGCAUAUGUGGUUUCCAGUUUACAUAGAGUCAAAUGAAGUUCUUUCAUGGCCGUCGAUGUGUCUGAUUGGGGGGAAUAUACACGACUGUGAUUAUGAUCGAAGAGAAUUCUCUUGGUAGAUAAUGUGGUCGGCAUUUGAUUGUAGGGAAUUCAUGGUCAGGUGAACAAGAGGACUUGAGUUCCUGUUUGUUGUUAUGAUCACACCACGUCUCGUUAAUCAUAAGACAUACACCCCUGCCCUUCUUCUUACCAGAGAGAUGUUUGUUUCUGUUGGCGCGAUGCGUGAAGAAACCAGGUGGCUGUACCGACUCUGAUGACGUAUCCCAAGUGAGCCAUGUUUCCGUGAAACAAAUAACAUUACAAUCUCUGAUGUCUCUCUGGAAGGCAACCCUUGCUCGGAUUUCGUCUACCUUGUUGUCAAGAGACUGGACAUUGGCGUGUAGUAUGCUCGGGAGCGAUGCGCGAUGUGACCGUCUACGGAGCCUGACCAGAAGACCGCUCCGUCUGCCCCUUCUGCGGCUCCAUUGUUUUGGGUCGCUGGCUGGGGUCUUAUCCAUUGUCCUGGGUGGUGGACCAAACAGAGGAUCCGCUUCCGGAAAGUCGUAAUUCCUGGUCGUAAUGUUGGUGAGUUGAUGUUGCUCUUAUAUCCAAUAGUUCCUCCCGACUGUAUGUAAUAAAACCUAAGAUUUCCUGGGGUAACAAUGUAAGAAAUAACACAUAAAAAAACAAAAUACUGCAUAGUUUCCUAGGAACGCGAUGUGAGGCGCCAGGCUGCCCUGAUUUUGCUGAUGUAACAACUAGCUCUCACAGUUUCACGUCAGAAUUAAUGUUCAUCCAUGUUUCUCAAACUUCACAUUUUGAAGUUGUUUAAAACGUGAAAUUUGAAAGUGAUUGAGGUUACAUUUAGGCAUUAACUCACCAUUUUAAUGUUAGGGUUAAGCUUCGGCAUCAACUCCCGAAUCUUAAGGUUAGGCAUUAACUCACAAUUUUAAUGUUAGGGUUAAGCUUCGGCAUCAACUCCCGAAUCUUAAGGUUAGGCAUUAACUCACCAUUUUAAUGUUAGGGUUAAGCUUCGGCAUCAACUCCCGAAUCUUAAGGUUAGGCAUUAACUCACAAUUUUAAUGUUAG